rnacentral:rRNA from 1 species
AUUGAACGCUGGCGGCAGGCCUAACACAUGCAAGUCGAGCGGAGCGGCGGACGGGUGAGGAAUGCCUAGGAAUCUGCCUGGUAGUGGGGGAUAACGUCCGGAAACGGGCGCUAAUCCCGCAUACUAUCAGAUGAGCCUAGGUCGGAUUAGAUAGUUGGUGGGGUAAAGGCCUACCCAGGCCACGAUCCGUAACUGGUCUGAGAGGAUGAUCAGUAAAACUGGAACUGAGCAACGGUCCAGACUCCGACGGGAGGCAGCAGUGGGGAAUAGUGGACAAUGGGCGAAAGCCUGAUCCAGCCAUGCCGCGUGUGUGAAGAAGGUCUUCGGAUUGUAAAGCACUUUAAGUUGGGAGGCGUUACCAACAGAAUAAGCACCGGCUAACUUCGUGCCAGCCGCCGCGGUAAUAC